rnacentral:rRNA from 1 species
GACGAACGCUGGCGGCGUGCCUAAUACAUGCAAGUAGAACGCUGAAGGAGGAGCUUGCUUCUCCGGAUGAGUUGCGAACGGGUGAGUAACGCGUAGGUAACCUGCCUGGUAGCGGGGGAUAACUAUUGGAAACGAUAGCUAAUACCGCAUAAGAGUAGAUGUCCCAUUACAUUUGCUUAAAAGGUGCACCUGCCCCACUACCAGGUGGACCUGCGUUGUAUUAGCUAGUUGGUGAGGUAACGGCUCCACAAGGCAACGAUACAGAGGCGACCUGAGAGGGGGAUCGGCCAAACUGGGACUGGGACACGGCCCAGACUCCUACGGGAGGCAGCAGUAGGGAAUCUUCGGCCAUGGACGGAAGUCUGACCGAGCAACGCCGCGGGAGGGAAGAAGGUUUUCGGAUCGUAAAGCUCUGUUGUAAGAGAAGAACGAGUGUGAGAGUGGAAAGUUCACACUGUGACGGUAUCUUACCAGAAAGGGACGGCUAACUACGUG